rnacentral:rRNA from 1 species
GACGAACGCUGGCGGCGUGCUUAACACAUGCAAGUCGAACGGUGAAGGGAGCUUGCUCCCGGAUCAGUGGCGAACGGGUGGGUAACACGUGAGCAACCUACCCUUGACUCUGGGAUAACAGUUGGAAACAGCUGCUAAUACCGGAUACGACCCCGGCGGGCAUCUGCUGGGGUGGAAAGCUCCGACGGUCAGGGAUGGGCUCGCGGCCUAUCAGCUUGUUGGUGAGGUGACGGCUCACCAAGGCGACGACGGGUAGCCGGCCUGAGAGGGCGACCGGCCACACUGGGACUGAGAUACGGCCCAGACUCCUACGGGAGGCAGCAGUGGGGAAUAUUGCACAAUGGGCGAAAGCCUGAUGCAGCAACGCCGCGUGCGGGAUGACGGCCUUCGGGUUGUAAACCGCUUUCAGCAGGGACGAAGGGUUUCUGACGGUACCUGCAGAAGAAGCACCGGCUAACUACGUGCCAGCAGCCGCAGUAAUAC